rnacentral:rRNA from 1 species
GCCAGACUCCUACGGGAGGCAGCAGUGAGGAAUAUUGGUCAAUGGCCGGAAGGCUGGACCAGCCAAGCCGCGUGAAGGACGAAGGUGCCAAGCAUUGUAAACUUCUUUUGUCAAGGGACAAAAUCAGGCUCGAGAGCCUGACCGAGGGUACUUGAAGAAAAAGCAUCGGCUAACUCCGUGCCAGCAGCCGCGGUAAUACGGAGGAUGCGAGCGUUAUCCGGAUUUAUUGGGUUUAAAGGGUGCGCAGGCGGAAUGUCAAGUCAGCGGUAAAAUUUCGGGGCUCAACCCCGUCGUGCCGUUGAAACUGGCGUUCUUGAGUGAGCGAGAAGUAUGCGGAAUGCGCGGUGUAGCGGUGAAAUGCAUAGAUAUCGCGCAGAACUCCGAUUGCGAAGGCAGCAUGCCGGCUCCACACUGACGCUGAGGCACGAAAGCGUGGGUAUCGAACAGGAUUAAAUACCCCGGUAU